UACGUAGGGGGCAAGCGUUGUCCGGAUUUAUUGGGCGUAAAGAGCGUGUAGGCGGCCAUACAGGUCAGCUGUGAAAACUCGAGGCUCAACCUCGAGACGUCGGUUGAAACCGUAUGGCUAGAGUCCGGAAGAGGAGAGUGGAAUUCCCGGUGUAGCGGUGAAAUGCGCAGAUAUCGGGAAGAACACUCGUGGCGAAGGCGGCUCUCUGGGACGGUACUGACGCUGAGACGCGAAAGCGUGGGGAGCGAACAGGG
rnacentral:rRNA from 1 species